rnacentral:lncRNA from 10 species
GGGCAGCACUAAGCCAUGAGGGAUCCACCCUGAUGAUCCAGUCUCCUGCCACCAGGUCCCACCUCCAACAUGGGCAAUUACAAUGCAACAUCAGAUUUGGUGGGGAUACAGAUCCAAAUUGUAUCACAAACCAACAGGCUAGGUGUGGUGGCUUAUUCCUAUAAUCCUAGCACUUUGGGAGGCUGAGGUGGGAGGAUCACCUGAGCCCAGGAGUUUGAGGCUGAUCACGUCACUGCACUCCAGCCUGGGCACCAGAGCAAGACCCUUUCUCCAGAAAAAAAAAAUAAAAUAAAAACAGUUUGGCUCUUUUCACUCAGCAUAAUUCCCUUAAGAGCUAUCUAAGUUGC